AUUGAACGCUGGCGGCAUGCCUUACACAUGCAAGUCGAACGGUAACGGGCCUUCGGGUGCCGACGAGUGGCGCACGGGUGAGUAAUACAUCGGAACGUGCCCGAUCGUGGGGGAUAACGAGGCGAAAGCUUUGCUAAUACCGCAUACGAUCUACGGAUGAAAGCAGGGGACCGCAAGGCCUUGCGCGGACGGAGCGGCCGAUGGCAGAUUAGGUAGUUGGCGGGAUAAAAGCUUACCAAGCCGACGAUCUGUAGCUGGUCUGAGAGGAUGAUCAGCCACACUGGGACUGAGACACGGCCCAGACUCCUACGGGAGGCAGCGGCGGGGAAUUUUGGACAAUGGGCGCAAGCCUGAUCCAGCCAUGCCGCGUGCAGGAUGAAGGCCUUCGGGUUGUAAACUGCUUUUGUACGGAACGAAAAGCCUUCUUUUAAUACAGGAGGGUCAUGACGGUACCGUAAGAAUAAGCACCGGCUAACUACGUG
rnacentral:rRNA from 1 species